rnacentral:rRNA from 1 species
UACGUAGGGGGGCGAGCGUUGUCCGGAUUUAUUUGGGCGUAAAGAGCUCGUAGGCGGUUCGGUAAGUCGGGUGUGAAAAUCUCAGAGCUCAACUCUGAAACUGCACUCGAUACUGCUUUGCUCGAGGACUGGAGAGGAGAUUGGAAUUCACGGUGUAGCAGUGAAAUGCGUAGAUAUCGUGAGGAAGACCAGUGGCGAAGGGCGGAUCUCUGGACAGUUCCUGACGCUGGAGGCGCGAAAGCCAGGGGAGCAAACGGGGA